rnacentral:rRNA from 1 species
UGGGGAAUAUUGCACAAUGGGGGAAACCCUGAUGCAGCGACGCCGCGUGAGCGAAGAAGUAUCUCGGUAUGUAAAGCUCUAUCAGCAGGGAAGAAGAAUGACGGUACCUGACUAAGAAGCUCCGGCUAAAUACGUGCCAGCAGCCGCGGUAAUACGUAUGGAGCAAGCGUUAUCCGGAUUUACUGGGUGUAAAGGGAGUGUAGGCGGCAUGGCAAGUCUGAUGUGAAAAUCCGGGGCUUAACCCCGGACCUGCAUUGGAAACUGUCAGGCUGGAGUGUCGGAGAGGUAAGUGGAAUUCCUAGUGUAGCGGUGAAAUGCGUAGAUAUUAGGAGGAACACCAGUGGCGAAGGCGGCUUACUGGACGACAACUGACGCUGAGGCUCGAAAGCGUGGGGAGCAAACA